UGGGGAAUUUUGGACAAUGGGGGAAACCCUGAUCCAGCCAUCCCGCGUGUGCGAUGAAGGCCUUCGGGUUGUAAAGCACUUUUGGCAGGAAAGAAACGUCAUGGGUUAAUACCCCGUGAAACUGACGGUACCUGCAGAAUAAGCACCGGCUAACUACGUGCCAGCAGCCGCGGUAAUACGUAGGGUGCAAGCGUUAAUCGGAAUUACUGGGCGUAAAGCGUGCGCAGGCGGUUCGGAAAGAAAGAUGUGAAAUCCCAGAGCUCAACUUUGGAACUGCAUUUUUAACUACCGGGCUAGAGUGUGUCAGAGGGAGGUGGAAUUCCGCGUGUAGCAGUGAAAUGCGUAGGUAUGCGGAGGAACACCGAUGGCGAAGGCAGCCUCCUGGGAUAACACUGACGCUCAUGCACGAAAGCGUGGGGAGCAAAC
rnacentral:rRNA from 1 species